AACGUAGGUACCGAGCGUUAUCCGGAUUUACUGGGCGUAAAGCGCGUUCAGGCGGUUUGGCAAGUCGGGCAUGAAAUCUCUCGGCUCAACCGGGAGAGGUUGUCCGAUACUUCCAGACUUGAGGGCAGUAGAGGGUGGUGGAAUUCCGGGUGUAGUGGUGAAAUGCGUAGAUAUCCGGAGGAACACCAGUGGCGAAAGCGGCCACCUGGACUGCACCUGACGCUGACACGCGAAAGCUAGGGGAGCGAUCCGG
rnacentral:rRNA from 1 species